ACUACAAAAAUCCCCGCUUGGGCUCCCCUACCAUAAUAGUUAUAGCUGUUUUAAUUUUACAUAAUUUUAACGGUAGUUUGUUGUCUAUGUGUAACUGUCUAUAUUUAUGAUUUCUAGCUGACAGAAUUUGUUUAUAACAGCAAACGGGCCUUUUUCGCCUGAGGAUGGGACAGAUCCUGUAGGUUCAGAAACCGGUAGCCACUUGACACCAAAAUAAAAAUAAACACAUUAAGCUUCAUCAUUGUUGGGGUGUACCACACCCCACCUGUCGGAUGCCUGGUUAAAACAACUGUAUAUAGGCAAGAAUUGAAUAACAAUAUUUAAGUAUAAAAAGAACAGCAUUGACAGCAGCACGCACUAUGGCACUUGGAUCCAUUUUCUUUUCGAACUAGGUACUAUCAAAUAAACUUGAAAAUAUGUAAGCGAAAAAAAAAAA
rnacentral:lncRNA from 1 species